UACAGAGGUGGCAAGCGUUGUUCGGAAUUACUGGGCGUAAAGGGCGCGUAGGCGGCGGAGUAAGUUGGGUGUGAAAUCCCGGGGCUUAACCUCGGAAUUGCAUUCAAUACUGCUUCGCUUGAGUACUGGAGAGGAGGCUGGAAUUUACGGUGUAGCAGUGAAAUGCGUAGAUAUCGUGAGGAACACCAGAGGCGAAGGCGGUUACCUGGGAAUGUACUGACGCUGAGGAGCGAAAGUGUGGGGAGCGAACAGG
rnacentral:rRNA from 1 species